rnacentral:rRNA from 1 species
CAAUGAAAUUGAUCUCCCCGUGCAGAAGCGGGGAUAACACCAUAAGACGAGAAGACCCUAUGGAGCUUUAGACAAACGACUGAACCGUAUUCCCUGGCCCCUUCUCACAGGAACUAAAUUUAAUGGACCCUCUUUCAAUGUCUUCGGUUGGGGCGACCAUGGGGAAAACAAAACCCCCAAGUGGAAUAGGGGUAACGAAAACGUCGAUUACACCCCUUAAGGUAGAGCGACAGCUCAACACAACAGAAAUUCUGACCAAAAUGAUCCGGACAUUCCGAUCAACGAACCAAGUUACCCUAGGGAUAACAGCGCANUCCCCUUUUAGAGUCCAUAUCGACAAGGGGGUUUACGACCUCGAUGUUG